rnacentral:miRNA from 1 species
AUACAAGGACAAUUUCUUUCUG